rnacentral:lncRNA from 1 species
GGUUUCUUGGAAGGUCUGGUCUGCCCGGCAAUCUUUUCUCUUCCUGAACUCUCCUUGUGCUCAGAAUGGCUCCCCGACCACUUACAAAGUGGGUCCUGUGCGAACCAUUUUAUGUUCAUUGUCCUUUCUAGGGACUUGGCUCCAUGGAGUUCUUCAAAAGAGGAAUUAAAGACUCAGGGACCGUGCCAUUCGCUGUGCUUCUCAAAUCAUCAUCAGCUGCUUUUGAGGAUGAACAACAGAGCCCCAGGAGCUGCUCCCAUAAAUGACUUCCAAUACAUUGCGGAGAGAGACUAUUAUUCAGAUGCCUGCUAUUACACGGCCUGCACUCGGCCGUUCCACACCGCGCCUCUCCUGACUCGCUUUCAGAGAUCCACUGUCGUCAGCAAAGGGAGAGUGGGCCUGGAGCUUCCGGGAAAGUGCUCUGAGUUGGUGAAAGCUCCCGGAAUGGCAGCAUCUUUCUCCAAGGGCUUAUCGGGAAUGUCCUUACAUCUGAUGGUGUGGACUACUACUUGCUUUCGACGUUGGAGUUCUGUGAAAUGAUCUGCAUACUGAAAUGCUCCCCACUGCAGACACUUGAACACUUGUGUGGCUGAGAUGUGGUGCUUACAAAUCAUCUUUUCUAGCAGUUGAAGACAAGUGGCUCGGAUGGAAUUACCGUAGAUCUGAGGUCCCAACCUAUCACUGACCAGGCACCGGCUAAGGGGAGUUGGCCGGAGUUGUUCCUCUGGAGAGGCUAAAAUAUCACUACGGCCCGAGCAGCUCUGUGGCGGUUCCUUCCAACUCCAGAAGCCGAUUCAAUAAAAAAAUCAAUUUUUAAAAUACUGCAAUUUGUAUUUUAAAAACCUAAUCUAUUUAGAGCUUUGCCCAGGAGAGUGGUUUUCCCCAUAUGCCCAGAUCUGUAAACUCUUUCCAAAUACUUUCUUGAAAUUGCUUAUUAGGAAAAGCUUAUUUCACUAAAGCCUAUAGGAAUAUUAAUUUAGUGCCAUUACUCUUCAUGAGAAAAUAGUUUUGCAACAAUUGUCAGAAGAAAUGGAAGUGGAAAUUGCAACAUAAUAAUUAGAAGAAAGCAACUGGCCGCGAUGGGGGCUGGAGGAAAGCGGACGUGGCCAGUCCUGUGGUUAGAAAAAACCGGCUGCCUACGGCCCUCCCUCCUUUGGGCUCCAGAAAGCAAGGUACAAGAAAAACAAAAUGACUUAGUAAUAGGGAAAUCUGCACCUCUUCUAUUUCCUUGAAGCUGUUUGACUGAAAGCCAAUAUGGGAUUGUUAAAGAAUGAAGACAGGAAGAACAGCAGUGGAAACUAAGGAGCUGUCAUGGACCUAAAAAGUCCAAAAUCAGGAGAGGACCUGCUGAACUGAGUAGUGUGCCUGUAAAUAAAAGGCUAAAUCUAUGGACAGAGGUGUGUCUACUCACUCUCCAGCUCUCUCCCACAAGCUCAGUACAGUACAAACGGAUUAACCGAAGAGAUGAAAAUGCUAGGUAUAAAUGAUGAUAAACCAUCAAACCAGGGCUGGGGGUUUCCCAGAGUCUGAAGGUGGUGUGGGAAAAGUAAAACAGUAGAUGUCAAAGUUGAGACCAAAUUAUACUAACCAAUGCUACCUCCAUUCAUCCCAACACUCUUUUCUCGCACAUUAGGAUACGGCCCUUUGCUUCAGACAAAUCUUUUUUCUUAGCAGAGUUCAGUUCCUUCCUUUAGCAAAAUAAUCAGGAAAUUAGCUUCUCUGUGCGUGGUUGUCCCCUCCUUUUUCCUAUGCCACGAACUAAGCCUCUUACUUCUUGUUUAUUAUUCCACUUGCAUUUUGUUAAAUAAUUCAUAGCAGUUUGAGGAGACUCGUUAAUUCAAUUGUUUCUUUCAUGUUUGUCUUCACCAGGUGUUUUUUGACUAACACAUUUCCCACAUGAUAAAAUUAGGGAUCCAAUUAAUGUCUUUAAGGACAUUGGUGUACAAUUCAGCACCUAAUUUUCUGAAGGGUGCAUAUUUAGGUGCUUAACUAGGUGGAACUUGGAGCCACAGAUUGCAUUUGCAUACAAAACCCUCUUUUCUCUUCUUAAAUACGUCGCAGUUCAACAACAACCUCCCAUACCGGCAAUGCUGUAGAGGUUCCUAGCGCACAGCGGAGUCCAGAAAAUAAAUAUGUCUAAGCCACAUUUCAUCAGAGCAGAAACAAAAAUCCUAUUAGAUGAGGUGUUGAAAUAUGAGAUCCAUUUCUCGCGAGCAGUAAGGAUAAUGUCCGACAUAUGAAAACAGGGAAGGAAAAAACCCUGGUAACACAUCGCGUGGAAAAUGAAUGCUUUGAGGAAUCACAUCUGAGCUGUAGAGGAUGUUAAGGAAAAUAUGGCAUCGCAUCAAGCACAAAACGAAAAGCUAAAUCACUGACCGGCGACCGCUAAGGGAGACCAGCAAGAGACUGGAAUCCAUUGAUCUGUGUGUUGGCUAGAGGGAUUGGGACCAGGACCAUCUGUGGAGAGGUGGUGAAGCGUGAGCCAGUCUUGAUUCAUUUCACUUGCAAAAUUGCUUGGAAGGGGGAUGGUGAACAAUCGCUCCGUUAAGUCUCUCUAUCUGUCCUUGAAAAUUGGUGAAAUAGGAUCUCACCUUUGAACUCGGGAAGGAAAUUUCCCCCAGAGCAUUUGGCUAGAGUGAUCAAUUUUGGCUGGUAUCACUUCCUUUGGCAAGAAGGGUAGGCUGACCCAAGUGGGUGGGCU